AACAACUGUGGGAGAUUUUCGGAUCUGCCGGGGCCUUGGUAUGCUCGGUCUGCGAACCCACACGCAGCUCCC
rnacentral:misc_RNA from 2 species